rnacentral:rRNA from 1 species
AUUGAACGCUGGCGGCAUGCCUUACACAUGCAAGUCGAACGGCAGCACGGGAGCAAUCCUGGUGGCGAGUGGCGAACGGGUGAGUAAAGUAUCGGAACGUGCCCAGUCGUGGGGGAUAACGUAGCGAAAGUUACGCUAAUACCGCAUACGAUCUAUGGAUGAAAGCGGGGGAUCGCAAGACCUCGCGCGAUUGGAGCGGCCGAUAUCAGAUUAGGUAGUUGGUGGGGUAAAGGGUCACCAAGCCGACGAUCUGUAGCUGGUCUGAGAGGAUAACCAGCCACACUGGGACUGAGACACGGCCCAGACUCCUACGGGAGGCAGCAGUGGGGAAUUUUGGACAAUGGGCGAAAGCCUGAUCCAGCCAUGCCGCGUGCAGGAUGAAGGCCUUCGGGUUGUAAACUGCUUUUGUACGGAACGAAAAGGUUUGGGCUAAUAAGCUGAGCUCAUGACGGUACCGUAAGAAUAAGCACCGGCUAACUACGUGCCAGCCGCCGCAGUAA